rnacentral:rRNA from 1 species
UACGGGGGGGAGCAAGCGUUGUUCAGAUUUACUGGGCGUAAAGGGCGCGUAGGCGGCGUGACAAGUCACUUGUGAAAUCUCCGGGCUUAACUCGGAACGGUCAAGUGAUACUGUCGUGCUAGAGUACAGAAGGGGCAACUGGGAAUUCUCGGUGUAGCGGUGAAAUGCGUAGAUAUCGAGAGGAACACCUGCGGCGAAGGCGGGUUGCUGGGCUGAUACUGACGCUGAGGCGCGAAAGCUAGGGGAGCGAACGGG